rnacentral:rRNA from 1 species
CAGUCGCCGCGGUAAUCCGUAGGUGGCAAGCGUUGUCCGGAAUUAUUGGGCGUAAAGCGCGCGCAGGCGGAUCGGUCAGUCUGUCUUAAAAGUUCGGGGCUUAACCCCGUGAUGGGAUGGAAACUGCCAAUCUAGAGUAUCGGAGAGGAAAGUGGAAUUCCUAGCGUAGCGGUGAAAUGCGUAGAUAUUAGGAAGAACACCAGUGGCGAAGGCGACUUUCUGGACGAAAACUGACGCUGAGGCGCGAAAGCCAGGGGAGCGAACGGGAUUAGAGACCCCCGUAGUCCCUGUCUCUUAUACA